ACAUGCUUACCACAGAGCUUGUAUGGAGGUAGGAGGUUAACAUCAUGUAUCAGCCCUCCCCUUCUACCUUCUUUGGGACAGGAUCUGUCUUCUACUUUCUGCAGACCAGCAGGCCCAUGGGCUUCCGGGCUAGAGCAGCAUAGGAGCAGGGGCAGUGGCUGUCUUUCCCUCCCACCUCUCUGCAGGAGCACGGAGAUAGCAACUGGGUCCCACUGUCCCCAGCUUUUCCAUGUGGACUCAGGGAUCUGAACUCAGGCCACCAGGCUUGUAUGGCAAGCACUGUACUCACCGAGCUGUCUCCCCAGCCCAAGGGUCUGUCAACAAAGUCUCGGGUGUCCGGGAACUCACUAAAGAUCCACCUGCCGCUGCCUCUCGACUGCUGAGGUUAAAAGUCUGCACCGCCAUGCCCGUCCUGGGACUGUCUUCUAAAAUGAUUUACGAUUUACUUAGAGGUCCCCACAGACACCUAGAAGAAAAUUAGACAUCAGAGCCUCAGGGACUCCCAAGCCCUUUGCAUAGCAGAGGAGAAAGUCCAGGCCAUGCUGUGGCUCUCCUGGCAGGAAGGAAGACACCUUAAAGAGAGCUUGUACAGUGGUUAUCAAAACCACUGAUACUGCAUUGCAACCACAGCCCCAGGGAUUAGAACUUCCCCCAGGAAGCUUGUGCCAGGAGAGGGAAAACUAAUUACAAAGGCUGAAGCCUAGCGCCAGCUUAGGGAAGAGCUUGUCUCCGUGAAGAGACUUCACACAACUACCCGAGAGAGUGGAACACAGGCAACAGUGACAAUGACAAAGGGAGGGACACACCCUGGCCAGGACUGCUGAGUUAUGCACAUCUCUUGCCUUUUAUUUAAACCUAAAUUUCACAUUAGCAACCAGAAGAUGAACUGGGCAUGUUGCUGUCUCUUUAUUCCUCUGUUCAGUGUAUUCACCUUGAGUAAAUAUCCUUUCAUGAACGUUCA
rnacentral:sRNA from 1 species